AGUCAAGUAAUUAAGUGCAUGUGGUGGAUGCCUUGGCAGUCAGAGGCGAUGAAAGACGUGAUAGCCUGCGAAAAGCUCCGGGGAGGCGGCAAAUAUCCUUUGAUCCGGAGAUGUCUGAAUGGGGGAACCCACCUACUUUAAGGUAGGUAUUGCAACAUGAAUACAUAGUGUUGCAAGGCGAACGAGGGGAAGUGAAACAUCUCAGUACCCUUAGGAAAAGAAAUCAAUUGAGAUUCCCUCAGUAGCGGCGAGCGAACGGGGAUCAGCCCAUUAAGUUAUGUGUGUUUUAGUGGAACGCUCUGGGAAGUGCGAACGUAGAGGGUGAUAUUCCCGUACACGAAAGGGCACACAUAAUGAUGACGAGUAGGGCGAGGCACGUGAAACCUUGUCUGAAUAUGGGGGGACCAUCCUCCAAGGCUAAAUACUCCUGACUGACCGAUAGUGAACCAGUACCGUGAGGGAAAGGCGAAAAGAACCCCUGUGAGGGGAGUGAAAUAGAUCCUGAAACCGCAUGCAUACAAGCAGUGGGAGCACCUUCGUGGUGUGACUGCGUACCUUUUGUAUAAUGGGUCAGCGACUUAUAUUCAGUAG
rnacentral:rRNA from 1 species